rnacentral:lncRNA from 1 species
ACUGUUCAUUCUCUGUGCCUAUUAGAGCUCUUUAUUUUGACUCCUCCCACAAUCUGCUUUCUGAUUGGCAGAUACCCACAUUGUGAACUUUGGCCUGAGUCUGCAGACGCUGUUAUAUCAAUAUAAUGAAGGAAAAAAAUCCCUCUAUCCGAGAGACGCAGGGUUUUUUUCCCCAUAGGUGAGUUCAAGACCACGAUCUGUGAGCGAUUCAGCAGUCGGGACCCGCAAACACACGUGAUCUCAUACAGGCACUGUCCUGGGAGGUGUCCACACGUCAUCUCAUGUUCCCAGCAUGGAGAGGAGUACAUUCAAAUGACAUUGUAUUUAUUAAAUAUUGUUUUAACAUAAACUUGACUCCUCCUG